rnacentral:rRNA from 1 species
UACGUAGGGUGCGAGCGUUAAUCGGAAUUACUGGGCGUAAAGCGUGCGCAGGCGGUUCGGAAAGAAAGAUGUGAAAUCCCAGAGCUUAACUUUGGAACUGCAUUUUUAACUCCCGGGCUAGAGUGUGUCAGAGGGGGGUAGAAUUCCACAUGUAGCAGUGAAAUGCGUAGAGAUGUGGAGGAAUACCGAUGGCGAAGGCAGCCCCCUGGGACAACACUGACGCUCAGGCACGAAAGCGUGGGGAGCAAACAGG